ACAGGUGCAGAGAAGAAAAGCAUAUGCAGAAAUUGGUGUUCACCGCAUGUGAUCCAUGGAGUCGCCGCUGUCCGCCGGCGUCCUGCCUCAAACGUUGUCGGCCUUACGCAUCUAGCCACACGCGCGAGGCCAGGAGGCGGAGGAACUAGCCAUGACGCCGAGUGGCUUGGAGGUCUCACAUACAGUUUAUGUCCCUCGCCUGAUGGUUACUCGAAGAAGUUACAUCGCCAUGCAGAAAACACAUACACUUCUUCUGACUUUUGUGGGUGUUGGAUAAAUCUGAGGAUGCAUCGACACCGCGGUUCGACCAAACACCUUCAACGUGUGGUACAUUGUAGUAAGGAGUUUCGAGAACGACCAUAUACAAGGUAUAUACAUAAACACUAAUAUGGAGAGCACUACCCACAGAGCGAUCUUUUCUACACACAUAAGCGUGUCAGCAUUGACAACAUCAAGUACGAUAUAUCAAGUUUCUACAGUAACAGCAUGUCAGGCAUGUACACUGUUGUGGAGAGGGUUGCUGGUGUGAUAUGUAAAUGGAAAGGAGGUUGCAUUGAUUGAUUCAUGAUUAAAAAAGUAACGAUGGACCGCCA